GAAUAUGAAGCGAUUUAUUGCAAUUAGUUUCGACCUAAUCUUAAAUGUUUUUUCAUUCUUAUUCU
rnacentral:tRNA from 1 species